UAUAAUUAAACUUAAUUUACAAUUAUAACAUAAUAAUUAAAUUAACCCUAUAUAUAGCCUUGUAUGUAGCCACAAUAUAAUAUUUACAGUAACUACAUAAUUAAUUAAUUAACAUGAAUACAUUUAGCUAAAAUUAUUAAAUUAUAGAUUCAAUUAUAAGCUUAAAUGAAAAACAUUAAUUAAUAUUUAUGAAAUUAAAAUUACCAAAGCUAGAUAGCUAAUGCCGGCGGUAGAAGUGAGAAGUCGCAGGACGUGUGCGUAGCAGCUGAACGUGUGCGUUGGCUGGCAGGCGGACGCGGUAGGACGACGACAAACGACGGCUAGUUCACGUCGUUGCGCAGCUGACUGCGAUUGGAGUUGGAACAAGCUGCAGGCAUCACACGACAGCAAGACAAAUGGCUGAUUCAGGCGUGCGACAGACGGUCACGAUGCUAGCUGCUAGGACGGCGGUUGAGGGCUGACUUAGGGUUUUUGUAAAUUUGUGUAAGUGUAUGAGAUUUACGGUUUAGAGUGAGGUGUGUUGUGUGCAUGUGUUGUGUGAUCUGUCAUCUGUGUUGUGUGCGUGUGUGAUGCAUAUAUGAUUUGUGUUGUGUGCGUGUGUGAUGUUGUGAUGUGUGCGUGUGUGUUAGCUUUUUCUUUUUCAAAUAGGGUCGGAUCGGCUUAAGCCCGACCCGACCCAAAAUUUGUUCGGACUUAAAAAUUUUGACACAAACCGGACCCUAAAUCUAAAAAUUUAGAUUAAAACCCUAAAAAUUAUGGUCGGAUCAGUUGGGCUAAAUUGUCAAGCCUACUAAUACAUCGAAAGCAAUAAAGAGUUUAUAAUUUAAAGAAAAGGAAAAAAAAUCCACGACCAAAAAACUGAAAUUAGAGAUCAAUUUGCAAAACAGUAGAGUGAGAAAAUACAACUUGCAACUUAAAGUAGUGAGAGGAAAUGAGUAAUGAUAAUUUUGAAAUUUA
rnacentral:lncRNA from 1 species